rnacentral:lncRNA from 1 species
ACCCGCAGUCCUGGGCUCAGGUCUUACAACACAGGGAAAGCUGAUGGGAGUUCCUCCUGAGCUUAGUAGCGAGGCUGGAGACAGACAGAAUGACAGAGAGAGAAAAUGAUUCUCUGCUGCCUGCAGAGCUGACAGCUGCUGCCUGAAUCUACUCAUCUGUGAGCCACAAAGGGGCAAAGUUUAAAGGAACAGCACUUCUUAGCUGUUCACAGUUCUACGAGGGCAGGGCAGAACAGGACCAGCUGGUGCUUAAAGUCCAGUUACUUCUUUGCUCUUUCCCUGGGGUCAGAUCUCACCUGUUUUUGAUCUUUGGCACAUUUUCCUGCAAUGAUGAAUGAGUGAGGCGGGCUGGGAGUGAAUAAGGAGACUUUUAGGUGUUGCCUCAGCUUCUCAAAGUUUCUGGUGUAUAUGAAGAUCCAUAACAGCUGGCUGCAAACCCAACUCCUGAGAAUCAUUUCUGGGAGAAUGCCGAAGACUGCAUUUCAACUUCAAGAAUGGCCUUUUACCGUUUAUCCGUUUGGAGCUUCCCCCAAGCACCCAACCCACUGCUGGCUAUAAAGAUUUGGAGACCUGGGCUUGAGUUCCAGCUGAGCCGCCUUCUGGCUAUUCCCUGGGGAAGCCACCUCACCUCCCUAGAGCCUCUGCUUCCUCAUCCAAGACUGAGGGUAUAGCUGUGCUCACCC